rnacentral:rRNA from 1 species
AUUGAACGCUGGCGGCAUGCUUUACACAUGUAAGUCGAACGGUAACAGGCCGCAAGGUGCUGACGAGUGGCGAACGGGUGAGUAAUGCAUCGGAACGUGCCCAGUCGUGGGGGAUAACGCAGCGAAAGCUGCGCUAAUACCGCACACGAUCUAUGGAUGAAAGCGGGGGACCGUAAGGCCUCGCGCGAUUGGAGCGGCCGAUGUCAGAUUAGGUAGUUGGUGGGGUAAAGGCUCACCAAGCCAACGAUCUGUAGCUGGUCUGAGAGGACGACCAGCCACACUGGGACUGGGACACGGCCCGGAGUCCUACGGGAGGCAGCAGUGGGGAAGUUUGGACAAUGGGCGCAAGCCUGAUCCAGCAAUGCCGCGUGCAGGAAGAAGGCCUUCGGGUUGUAAACUGCUUUUGUACGGAACGAAACGGUCCUGAUUAAUACCCGGGGCUAAUGACGGUACCGUAAGAGUAAGCACCGGCUAACUACGUGCCAGCAGCCGCAGUAAGAC